CUUUUCCAUCCUAGAUUUGUUGCUACUUGUUGACUGACCUGAUGAAUUUUUUAAGCUCCUGGGGAGGCGCAUCAGUUACCACUGAAUCUAUCACAGAUCUUCAUCUUGGUCUGAUGACAACUUAAUUGCAUUUGUCCUCUUAGAGAAAGAAAAUUAACAAAGUGUUUUUUGCAGCUAAGUGUUCUAUGUCUAUUUAGUUUACUUUGUAUGGUUAUUUUACCUCCGUAUACACCAUUCUGGGCAAAGCUAACAAAGGAAACUCAACACUCUGUCUGUGAUUAAUAAAACAUCGUCUCGAGGCCCAAAGGGCCAGCCACACGAAUGCUUUCAGCUGUAUAAGUGGUGAAAGGCGACAUAAUCUCCUCGGGACAAGAUUUGGGCUGAGAUUGAAAGACGCUGUGGGAGAGGUCCGGUAUAAGGGGUGGAAAGAGGACUCUUCAUGCUGCACUCGAAUGGACGGAUAGUCUGGAAGCAUGGAGAGCGGACAGAGCUUGGCGCAGGUCAUCUCUGAAAUGCAGAAUGAGAUCAGAAAGCUGGAGAGCGAAAACAAAGCACUCCGUGGGCAGCUUGACCGGCCGGCUUCAGCCUUGGACUCGGUGAAGCAGAAAGACGGGUCACAGGACAGCUCAACCCACGCCAGCCUGAGACGAAACGUGUCCGCACCACAACUUGAAGCACAGUACAAAGAAAACAUUAUUAUGACUGUGCGAAGAUACUCCAUAUCAUCCAACUCUGAGAAUGAGAUUUUGCACAAGCCGAGACGAUACGAGGAGACUGUGAACAACAACAAAUGGGCAAAACUACAUGAUGGUUCACACAGCCGUCCUUCUAGUGCCUAUUCUAAACCAGACAUGGAGAAAUUAACCAACAGACAUUCCCUUCAGGAGUACGUCAACAAAAACAGAGCCAAAGUGAAGACGGUAACUUUCCUGUUGCCAGUGGAUGACAUUUACACCAAUCGACCUGUACUAGCUGAACACCUGUCAGAAAGAAGCACCUGUGAACUCCAAGCGAUAGCGGAAACAGACUCGUGAAGCCCAAACUAAUGGCGGGAAAAACAGAAACACCCACAAAACUGAUGCUUGUGAAGCUGACAAAGAAGAAGUGCAGUAAUGCGGUCAAAAUCUAUCCCAAAUGCAUCCUGCGGUGAAUUAAUACCCACACCUGACCUCAAUGCUUUGACUCCUGUUACAGAUUUGGUUUCUCAAAUUCAUCCAGCUUAAGAAACUCAAGUCAUCCCAUGGUCUCGUCCGAUGUCAGUCCCACUCCGGCGUUUGGAUCGGGUGUCUGCUUGUGUGAAAAAAAGCUCACUAUACUGAGUUUGGUGUAACUGUUAGUUUAUAGCGCUUUUGAACGACGGACAUUAUUUACAUCAGUUUGUUCUCCACAAAAUCUCCCACUAUUUUAUUCAGCAUUAGCUUGCUCAACUUUAGCAUAACAGUUUACUUAAAAACAUGUUUAAAGUGAUAGUUCUCCUAAAAAUUAAAAUGAAAAUUCUCUUAUAAUUUCUCAUUCUCAAUUUGUUCCAAAGCAAAGGAAGAUAUUUUGAAGAAUGUUGGUAACCAGACAGCUGACGGUAACACUGAUUUCCACAGUAUUUUUUUCCCCAAACUAUAGAAUUGGCAGUGGCUACCAUCAACUGUUUGAUUAUCAAUAUCUUUCUAAAAUAUCUUCUGUGUUCACCAUAAGAAAGAAACUCGUUGAGUAAAUGAUGAUAGAAUGUUCCUUUUUGGGUGACAUAUUCCUUUAAAUAAAACUGUUAUUUAAUCAUGUUAAAAUGUAUUA
ensembl:lncRNA